CAAUAGCGUAUAUUUAAGUUGCUGCAGUUAAAAAGCUCGUAGUUGGAUUUCGGGUGGGAAUGGCCGGUCCGCCGUUUCGGUGUGCACUUGCUACGCCCACCUUGCUGCCGGGGACGUGCUCUUGAGUUCACGCUCGGGACACGGAGUCGGCGAGGUUACUUUGAGUAAAUUAGAGUGUUCAAAGCAGGCCUACGCCCUGAAUACAUUAGCAUGGAAUAACACGAUAGGACUCUGGCCUAUCUUGCUGGUCUGUAGGACCGGAGUAAUGAUUAAGAGGGACAGUCGGGGGCAUUCGUAUUUCAUUGUCAGAGGUGAAAUUCUUGGAUUUAUGAAAGACGAACUACUGCGAAAGCAUUUGCCAAGGAUGUUUUCAUUAA
rnacentral:rRNA from 1 species